rnacentral:rRNA from 1 species
UGGGGAAUAUUGCACAAUGGGGGAAACCCUGAUGCAGCGACGCCGCGUGAGCGAAGAAGGUUUUCGAAUCGUAAAGCUCUGUCCUAUGAGAAGAUAAUGACGGUAUCAUAGGAGGAAGCCCCGGCUAAAUACGUGCCAGCAGCCGCGGUAAUACGUAUGGGGCGAGCGUUGUCCGGAAUUAUUGGGCGUAAAGGGUACGUAGGCGGUCUAUUAAGUCAGGUGUGAAAGCGUGAGGCUUAACCUCAUUAAGCACUUGAAACUGAUAGACUUGAGUGAAGGAGAGGAAAGUGGAAUUCCUAGUGUAGCGGUGAAAUGCGUAGAUAUUAGGAGGAAUACCGGUGGCGGAGGCGACUUUCUGGACUUUUACUGACGCUCAGGUACGAAAGCGUGGGGAGCAAACAGG